ensembl:misc_RNA
UUGACAGCCCUGGAGACUGAAAUCCUCUAUAUAUCACCAGACCAGAUACAGAAAGGGCAGGGAGACCGCAGUCUUGUUCCACAUACCCCACUAAUACACUUCAACCUUAGCCUGAAAGAACCACCUCUAGAGAUGAGCAGGUAAUUUGGGCUUCAUACCCACUCAUUUCACUGGCUUCC